UGGAUACAAGUGCAUGCCAUCAUCAAAAAGCAGAAGUGCCUGUAAAGACAGGAAGAUCUCCUAAGUGAGAACAUGGAGCUAGACAACAUUUAUACCAAUCUGGAAAACUUGUGUCAUGACCAACUGGAACUAGACAUGAAACAGCAAAACCUAAAAUCAGAACAUGGUGCUCAAUCAACAGAGCCUGUCCAAGGAAAAUGGUCACCUCUGGUCAUCUGCAUUCUCCUGGGUCUCUCCAUCCUGCUGUCCAUGGGGAUGCUUACUGCUGCAGUGAUACUGUGUAAGCGUUGUGUCAUUUUGAACUGUGUUGGGGUAGGGGUAGCGUUAGUGUUAUGUGAAUAAUCCAAUGACAAUUGACAAAUGUAAUUUUCAGUUGUGCAUUAAUUAAA